rnacentral:misc_RNA from 1 species
CUGCCACUGAACUUUGAAUUUAGCCGCUUACGAAAAUGUCGUUUCUUGCUGUUAUAUUCAACUCCCCUAACCUUAGCAUUCUAUUCUUUUGCCCUUAGCUUUGGAUCACCUCGAAAACUUAGUUAAAUAAUUCUCACAACGGUAUACUAUCACAUGGAGCCGAUCGACAUUUUGAAAAAAGGACACAACUGUAUCGUCUCGUUCUGGCGUCACUUCUCAUUGUCCCUCUCCCACUUGUUUCUGCUUAGAUUCCUCGAUAUAUAUAAAUGUGGGACUUACGCAGUUAUGCUUGUCAGUUGGAGAUUGAAUCAAAACUAUAAUGGGGAAUUGCUCUGUGAAAGGGGUCUCUGGAGAAUGUCUUAAUCACAUCAGUGUAUUUACAGAUUCCGGGGGCAUUAUACAGCUCAAAGGUCCCAAACUAGCUAAAGAUGUCCUUAAGGGGUAUCCGGGCUAUGGCAUUUUUAGGCAGGGAAAUGCUUCGUCUCCACUGUCUAGCUACGAGUACCUUAUUGGUGGGCAAUUUUACUACCUUCUUCCACUUCAGGAGAUGCCAAUGUCUGUAGGGGUUGCAAGGAAGGAAGGUAUGAGGUUUCUUGACGGGUUUGAGUCACCAAAGCUUUCAUCUGGGGCAGAAUUAGUGGAUUUCGGAGAGACCGCAGAGAAUGGACCAGCUGUUCAGGUCCUGCCGUCGCAAGGUCACGGAGUAUGGAAAGUGAAAUUGGUCAUCAAUCCAAAGCAAUUGGAGGAAAUUUUAUCAGAGCAGGGAAAUACUGAAACCUUGAUUGAGAAGAUGAGAAUGGCUGCAAGCUCCGCUACUUUGGAACCCAGACAGAGCAAAAGCUCUAGGGGGUUGGCUUGGAUGCCUUCUCUCUGUAGUGUAUUCAAGGUGUCCCCAAUUGAUGGGGCCAAAUAAAAAGCCUGAUGUUACUUUCUAUGUAAUGUUAGGAUACCAGAGAAUUAUCUCUCAACUAUCAUGUAAAUAUGGCAGAUUAGAGAUGGUGGUAGUAGUGAUGUCUUACUAAAAAACUGGAGUUUUCUUCGCCGGACUAGGCUAAGCCGGCUAAAAGAGGCCACCAUGGUGGCAAAACAAGUGUCUGUGCAGUUACUGUAGCUUCGCUUGUCCGUGGUCAUGCCAUCUAUUAUCACUUAACCUAAUUAUUGGGUUAAUUGUUGUUUGUUAUGUUUUGGAUGUUAACAUUAUCUUGCACUGUUAGCAAGUGCUGCGUUUGACGUAGGUACUAAUGCAAUUAAGCGCUGAACAGCAUUAUUUUCCAGGAUUUUUAUUUGCAGUAAUUUGUAAUGGUUCACAAUCAUAGUGGCAACAAUAACAAGUACGAGGUGUAGCUGCAAGAUAUUUUCUUGUUAGAGACGGA